UACGAAGGGGGCUAGCGUUGCUCGGAAUCACUGGGCGUAAAGGGUGCGUAGGCGGGUCUUUAAGUCAGGGGUGAAAUCCUGGAGUUCAACUCCAGAACUGCCUUUGAUACUGAGGAUCUUGAGUUCGGGAGAGGUGAGUGGAACUGCGAGUGUAGAGGUGAAAUUCGUAGAUAUUCGCAAGAACACCAGUGGCGAAGGCGGCUCACUGGCCCGAUACUGACGCUGGACGGCACGAAAGCGUGGGGAGCAAACAGG
rnacentral:rRNA from 1 species